UUAAGCGACUAAGCGUACACGGUGGAUGCCCUGGCAGUCAGAGGCGAUGAAGGACGUGCUAAUCUGCGAUAAGCGCCGGUAAGGUGAUAUGAACCGUUAUAACCGGCGAUUUCCGAAUGGGGAAACCCAGUGUGAUUCGUCACACUAUCAUUAACUGAAUCCAUAGGUUAAUGAGGCGAACCGGGGGAACUGAAACAUCUAAGUACCCCGAGGAAAAGAAAUCAACCGAGAUUCCCCCAGUAGCGGCGAGCGAACGGGGAGGAGCCCAGAGCCUGAAUCAGCAUGUGUGUUAGUGGAAGCGUCUGGAAAGGCGCGCGAUACAGGGUGACAGCCCCGUACACAAAAGCGCAUGUGCUGUGAGCUCGAUGAGUAGGGCGGGACACGUGGUAUCCUGUCUGAAUAUGGGGGGACCAUCCUCCAAGGCUAAAUACUCCUGACUGACCGAUAGUGAACCAGUACCGUGAGGGAAAGGCGAAAAGAACCCCGGCGAGGGGAGUGAAAAAGAACCUGAAACCGUGUACGUACAAGCAGUGGGAGCACCCUUCGGGGUGUGACUGCGUACCUUUUGUAUAAUGGGUCAGCGACUUAUAUUCUGUAGCAAGGUUAACCGUAUAGGGGAGCCGGAGGGAAACCGAGUCUUAAUUGGGCGUUAAGUUGCAGGGUAUAGACCCGAAACCCGGUGAUCUAGCCAUGGGCAGGUUGAAGGUUGGGUAACACUAACUGGAGGACCGAACCGACUAAUGUUGAAAAAUUAGCGGAUGACCUGUGGCUGGGGGUGAAAGGCCAAUCAAACCGGGAGAUAGCUGGUUCUCCCCGAAAGCUAUUUAGGUAGCGCCUCGUGAAUUCAUCUCCGGGGGUAGAGCACUGUUUCGGCUAGGGGGCCAUCCCGGCUUACCAACCCGAUGCAAACUGCGAAUACCGGAGAAUGUUAUCACGGGAGACACACGGCGGGUGCUAACGUCCGUCGUGAAGAGGGAAACAACCCAGACCGCCAGCUAAGGUCCCAAAGUCAUGGUUAAGUGGGAAACGAUGUGGGAAGGCCCAGACAGCCAGGAUGUUGGCUUAGAAGCAGCCAUCAUUUAAAGAAAGCGUAAUAGCUCACUGGUCGAGUCGGCCUGCGCGGAAGAUGUAACGGGGCUAAACCAUGCACCGAAGCUGCGGCAGCGAACGUAUCACCCAAGACAACUUUACGGAGUUGACGAUUGACGGAGCGAAGCGACGUCAAAGCGUUCAUUAAAGUCGAGUUGGCUUAGGGAUACGUUCGUUGGGUAGGGGAGCGUUCUGUAAGCCUGUGAAGGUGUGUCGUGAGGCAUGCUGGAGGUAUCAGAAGUGCGAAUGCUGACAUAAGUAACGAUAAAGCGGGUGAAAAGCCCGCUCGCCGGAAGACCAAGGGUUCCUGUCCAACGUUAAUCGGGGCAGGGUGAGUCGACCCCUAAGGCGAGGCCGAAAGGCGUAGUCGAUGGGAAACGGGUUAAUAUUCCCGUACUUGGUGUUACUGCGAAGGGGGGACGGAGAAGGCUAUGUUGGCCGGGCGACGGUUGUCCCGGUUUAAGGGUGUAGGUGUGUGUUCCAGGUAAAUCCGGUUCACUUUAACACUGAGGCGUGACGACGAGGCACUACGGUGCUGAAGCAACAAAUGCCCUGCUUCCAGGAAAAGCCUCUAAGCAUCAGGUAACACGAAAUCGUACCCCAAACCGACACAGGUGGUCAGGUAGAGAAUACCAAGGCGCUUGAGAGAACUCGGGUGAAGGAACUAGGCAAAAUGGUGCCGUAACUUCGGGAGAAGGCACGCUGACACGUAGGUGAAGUGAUUUACUCAUGGAGCUGAAGUCAGUCGAAGAUACCAGCUGGCUGCAACUGUUUAUUAAAAACACAGCACUGUGCAAACACGAAAGUGGACGUAUACGGUGUGACGCCUGCCCGGUGCCGGAAGGUUAAUUGAUGGGGUCAGCGUAAGCGAAGCUCCUGAUCGAAGCCCCGGUAAACGGCGGCCGUAACUAUAACGGUCCUAAGGUAGCGAAAUUCCUUGUCGGGUAAGUUCCGACCUGCACGAAUGGCGUAAUGAUGGCCAGGCUGUCUCCACCCGAGACUCAGUGAAAUUGAACUCGCUGUGAAGAUGCAGUGUACCCGCGGCAAGACGGAAAGACCCCGUGAACCUUUACUAUAGCUUGACACUGAACAUUGAGCCUUGAUGUGUAGGAUAGGUGGGAGGCUUUGAAGUGUGGACGCCAGUCUGCAUGGAGCCGACCUUGAAAUACCACCCUUUAAUGUUUGAUGUUCUAACGUGGACCCGUAAUCCGGGUUGCGGACAGUGUCUGGUGGGUAGUUUGACUGGGGCGGUCUCCUCCUAAAGAGUAACGGAGGAGCACGAAGGUUGGCUAAUCCUGGUCGGACAUCAGGAGGUUAGUGCAAUGGCAUAAGCCAGCUUGACUGCGAGCGUGACGGCGCGAGCAGGUGCGAAAGCAGGUCAUAGUGAUCCGGUGGUUCUGAAUGGAAGGGCCAUCGCUCAACGGAUAAAAGGUACUCCGGGGAUAACAGGCUGAUACCGCCCAAGAGUUCAUAUCGACGGCGGUGUUUGGCACCUCGAUGUCGGCUCAUCACAUCCUGGGGCUGAAGUAGGUCCCAAGGGUAUGGCUGUUCGCCAUUUAAAGUGGUACGCGAGCUGGGUUUAGAACGUCGUGAGACAGUUCGGUCCCUAUCUGCCGUGGGCGCUGGAGAACUGAGGGGGGCUGCUCCUAGUACGAGAGGACCGGAGUGGACGCAUCACUGGUGUUCGGGUUGUCAUGCCAAUGGCACUGCCCGGUAGCUAAAUGCGGAAGAGAUAAGUGCUGAAAGCAUCUAAGCACGAAACUUGCCCCGAGAUGAGUUCUCCCUGAGACUUAGAGUCUCCUGAAGGAACGUUGAAGACGACGACGUUGAUAGGCCGGGUGUGUAAGCGCAGCGAUGCGUUGAGCUAACCGGUACUAAUGAACCGUGAGGCUUAACCUU
rnacentral:rRNA from 1 species